CAACCUACCUAGACGGGGCUUACGACUGAUCAAGAAGGGUCGUGGCCUAGAUUAACGGCUCACAUUGCACUUCGUGAGCGUGUUGUUCUACCAUCUCCCCAAUUGGGAGAAUGGACGUCAUAAUUUUUGGUAGAGGGGGUAUGCGCGUGUGCGACCCCUAC
rnacentral:snRNA from 1 species